AGCGAACGCUGGCGGCAGGCCUAACACAUGCAAGUCGAACGAAGUCUUCGGACUUAGUGGCGGACGGGUGAGUAACACGUGGGAACGUGCCUUUAGGUUCGGAAUAACUCAGGGAAACUUGUGCUAAUACCGAAUGUGCCCUUCGGGGAAAGAUUUAUCGCCUUUAGAGCGGCCCGCGUCUGAUUAGCUAGUUGGUGGGGUAAUGGCCCACCAAGGCUACGAUCAGUAGCUGGUCUGAGAGGAUGACCAGCCACAUUGGGACUGAGACACGGCCCAAACUCCUACGGGAGGCAGCAGUGGGGAAUCUUGCGCAAUGGGCGAAAGCCUGACGCAGCCAUGCCGCGUGGAUGAUGAAGGUCUUAGGAUUGUAAAAUCCUUUCACCGGUGAAGAUAAUGACUGUAGCCGGAGAAGAAGCCCCGGCUAACUUCGUGCCAGCCGCCGCAGUAA
rnacentral:rRNA from 1 species